AACGAACGCUGGCGGCAGGCUUAACACAUGCAAGUCGAGCGCCCCGCAAGGGGAGCGGCAGACGGGUGAGUAACGCGUGGGAAUCUACCCAUCUCUACGGAACAACUCCGGGAAACUGGAGCUAAUACCGUAUACGUCCUUCGGGAGAAAGAUUUAUCGGAGAUGGAUGAGCCCGCGUUGGAUUAGCUAGUUGGUGGGGUAAUGGCCUACCAAGGCGACGAUCCAUAGCUGGUCUGAGAGGAUGAUCAGCCACACUGGGACUGAGACACGGCCCAGACUCCUACGGGAGGCAGCAGUGGGGAAUAUUGGACAAUGGGCGAAAGCCUGAUCCAGCCAUGCCGCGUGAGUGAUGUAGGCCCUAGGGUUGUAAAGCUCUUUCAACGGUGAAGAUAAUGACGGUAACCGUAGAAGAAGCCCCGGCUAACUUCGUGCCAGCAGCCGCUGUAACAC
rnacentral:rRNA from 1 species